rnacentral:rRNA from 1 species
UGGGUAACCUGCCUCAAAGAGGGGAAUAGCCUCCCGAAAGGGAGAUUAAUACCGCAUAAUAUGUUUAAGUCGCAUGACUUUAACAUCAAAGGAUUUUCUUUUAAGAAAUUCCACUUUGAGAUGGACCCGCGGCGCAUUAGCUAGUUGGUGAGGUAACGGCUCACCAAGGCAACGAUGCGUAGCCGACCUGAGAGGGUGAUCGGCCACAUUGGAACUGAGACACGGUCCAGACUCCCGUAGGGGGCAG